rnacentral:hammerhead_ribozyme from 1 species
AUCCAUCUGACCAGUCCCAAAUGGGACGAAACGCGCGUCCUGGAU